rnacentral:rRNA from 1 species
AGGAUGAACGCUAGCUACAGGCUUAACACAUGCAAGUCGAGGGGCAUCAGGAAGAAAGCUUGCUUUCUUUGCUGGCGACCGGCGCACGGGUGAGUAACACGUAUCCAACCUGCCCUUUACUCGGGGAUAGCCUUUCGAAAGAAAGAUUAAUACCCGAUGGCAUAAUGAUUCCGCAUGGUUUCAUUAUUAAAGGAUUCCGGUAAAGGAUGGGGAUGCGUUCCAUUAGGUUGUUGGUGAGGUAACGGCUCACCAAGCCUUCGAUGGAUAGGGGUUCUGAGAGGAAGGUCCCCCACAUUGGAACUGAGACACGGUCCAAACUCCUACGGGAGGCAGCAGUGAGGAAUAUUGGUCAAUGGGCGCUAGCCUGAACCAGCCAAGUAGCGUGAAGGAUGAAGGCUCUAUGGGUCGUAAACUUCUUUUAUAUAAGAAUAAAGUGCAGUAUGUAUACUGUUUUGUAUGUAUUAUAUGAAUAAGGAUCGGCUAACUCCGUGCCAGCAGCCGCGGUAAUACGGAGGAUCCGAGCGUUAUCCGGAUUUAUUGGGUUUAAAGGGAGCGUAGGUGGACUGGUAAGUCAGUUGUGAAAGUUUGCGGCUCAACCGUAAAAUUGCAGUUGAUACUGUCAGUCUUGAGUACAGUAGAGGUGGGCGGAAUUCGUGGUGUAGCGGUGAAAUGCUUAGAUAUCACGAAGAACUCCGAUUGCGAAGGCAGCUCACUGGACUGCAACUGGCACUGAUGCUCGAAAGUGUGGGUAUCAAACAGGAUUAGAUACCCUGGUAGUCCACACAGUAAACGAUGAAUACUCGCUGUUUGCGAUAUACAGUAAGCGGCCAAGCGAAAGCAUUAAGUAUUCCACCUGGGGAGUACGCCGGCAACGGUGAAACUCAAAGGAAUUGACGGGGGCCCGCACAAGCGGAGGAACAUGUGGUUUAAUUCGAUGAUACGCGAGGAACCUUACCCGGGCUUAAAUUGCAGUGGAAUGAUGUGGAAACAUGUCAGUGAGCAAUCACCGCUGUGAAGGUGCUGCAUGGUUGUCGUCAGCUCGUGCCGUGAGGUGUCGGCUUAAGUGCCAUAACGAGCGCAACCCUUAUCUUUAGUUACUAACAGGUUAUGCUGAGGACUCUAGAGAGACUGCCGUCGUAAGAUGUGAGGAAGGUGGGGAUGACGUCAAAUCAGCACGGCCCUUACGUCCGGGGCUACACACGUGUUACAAUGGGGGGUACAGAAGGCAGCUAGCGGGUGACCGUAUGCUAAUCCCAAAAGCCUCUCUCAGUUCGGAUCGAAAUCUGCAACCCGACUUCGUGAAGCUGGAUUCGCUAGUAAUCGCGCAUCAGCCACAGCGCGGUGAAUACGUUCCCGGGCCUUGUACACACCGCCCGUCAAGCCAUGAAAGCCGGGGGUACCUGAAGUGCGUAACCGCGAGGAGCGCCCUAGGGUAAAACUGGUGAUUGGGGC